AGAAUCAACGUUGGCGGCGUGCCUAACACAUGCAAGUCGCACGAGAAAGUGGAGCAAUCCAUGAGUAAAGUGGCGCACGGGUGAGUAACACGUGAAUUAUCUACCUCCGAGUGGGGAAUAACUGAGAGAAAUCUUAGCUAAUACCGCAUAACACUUACGAGUCAAAGCAGCAAUGCGCUUGGAGAGGAGUUCGCGGCCGAUUAGUUAGUUGGCGGGGUAAUGGCCCACCAAGACGAUGAUCGGUAUCCGGCCUGAGAGGGCGCACGGACACACUGGAACUGAAACACGGUCCAGACUCCUACGGGAGGCAGCAGUGGGGAAUUUUGCGCAAUGGGGGAAACCCUGACGCAGCAACGCCGCGUGGAGGAUGAAAUCCCUGGGAUGUAAACUCCUUUCGAUAGGGAAGAUAAUGACGGUACCUAUAGAAGAAGCCCGGCUAACUUCGCGCCAGCAGCCGC
rnacentral:rRNA from 1 species